AGCCUGAACGCUGGCGGCGUGGCUAAGACAUGCAAGUCGUACGGGUGUAGCAAUACACCAGUGGCGGACGGGUGAGUAAUGUAUCGCUAACGUACCCCGGAUUCUGGGAUAGCUGCCCGAAAGGGCAGGUAAUACCAGAUGAUAUAUCCUUUUCGCAUGAAGAGGAUCUCAAAGGGAAACCGUUCUGGGAGCGGGCGAUAUCGUAUCAGCUAGUUGGUGAGGUAACGGCUCACCAAGGCGACGACGCGUAGCCGGACUGAGAGGUUGGCCGGCCACAUUGGGACUGAGACACUGCCCAGACUCCUACGGGGGGCUGCAGUAACGAAUCUUCCGCAAUGCACGCAAGUGUGACGGAGCGACGCCGCGUGUGGGACGAAGUCCUUCGGGAUGUAAACCACUGUCAGGGGUUAGAAAGUUCUGAUCAACCCCAGAGGAAGGCACGGCUAACUCUGCGCCAGCAGCCGCGGUAA
rnacentral:rRNA from 1 species